AGAACGAACGCUGGCGGCAGGCUUAACACAUGCAAGUCGAACGCGUGUAGCAAUACACGAGUGGCGCACGGGUGAGUAACGCGUGGAUAUCUGCCUUUUGGUUCGGAAUAACCCCGGGAAACUGGGGCUAAUACCGGAUGGUUCCUACGGGAUAAAGAUUUAUCGCCAAAAGAUGAGUCCGCGUCCGAUUAGCUAGUUGGUGGGGUAAUGGCCUACCAAGGCGACGAUCGGUAGCUGGUCUGAGAGGACGAUCAGCCACACUGGGACUGAGACACGGCCCAGACUCCUACGGGAGGCAGCAGUGGGGAAUAUUGGACAAUGGGGGCAACCCUGAUCCAGCCAUGCCGCGUGAGUGAUGAAGGCCUUCGGGUUGUAAAGCUCUUUUGGCGGGGACGAUGAUGACGGUACCGCAGAAUAAGCCCGGCUAACUUCGCGCCAGCAGCCGC
rnacentral:rRNA from 1 species